UUACUCUUGACAUCCAGAGAACUUGGCAGGGAUGCCUUGGUGCCUUCGGGAACUCUGAGACAGGUGCUGCAUGGCUGUCGUCAGCUCGUGUUGUGAAAUGUUGGGUUAAGUCCCGCAACGAGCGCAACCCCCUAUCCUUUGUUGCCAGCGAUUCGGUCGGGAACUCAAAGGAGACUGCCGGUGAUAAACCGGAGGAAGGUGGGGAUGACGUCAAGUCAUCAUGGCCCUUACGAGUAGGGCUACACACGUGCUACAAUGGCGUAUACAAAGAGAAGCGACCUCGCGAGAGCAAGCGGACCUCAUAAAGUACGUCGUAGUCCGGAUUGGAGUCUGCAACUCGACUCCAUGAAGUCGGAAUCGCUAGUAAUCGUAGAUCAGAAUGCUACGGUGAAUACGUUCCCGGGCCUUGUACACACCGCCCGUCACACCAUGGGAGUGGGUUGCAAAAGAAGUAGAUAGCUUAACCUUCGGGAGGGCGUUUACCACUUUGUGAUUCAUGACUGGGGUGAAGUCGUAACAAGGUAAGCGUACGUGU
rnacentral:rRNA from 1 species